AGUGAACGCUGGCGGUAGGCCUAACACAUGCAAGUCGAACGGCAGCACAGUAAGAGCUUGCUCUUACGGGUGGCGAGUGGCGGACGGGUGAGGAAUACAUCGGAAUCUACUUUUUCGUGGGGGAUAACGUAGGGAAACUUACGCUAAUACCGCAUACGACCUACGGGUGAAAGCAGGGGAUCUUCGGACCUUGCGCGAUUGAAUGAGCCGAUGUCGGAUUAGCUAGUUGGCGGGGUAAAGGCCCACCAAGGCGACGAUCCGUAGCUGGUCUGAGAGGAUGAUCAGCCACACGGGAAGUGAGACACGGUCCAGACUCCUACGGGAGGCAGCAGUGGGGAAUAUUGGACAAUGGGCGCAAGCCUGAUCCAGCCAUACCGCGUGGGUGAAGAAGGCCUGCGGGUUGUAAAGCCCUUUUGUUGGGAAAGAAAAGCAGCAGGUUAAUACCCCGCUGUUCUGACGGUACCCAAAGAAUAAGCACCGGCUAACUUCGUG
rnacentral:rRNA from 1 species